AGUGAACGCUGGCGGUAGGCCUAACACAUGCAAGUCGAACGGCAGCACAGUAAGAGCUUGCUCUUACGGGUGGCGAGUGGCGGACGGGUGAGGAAUACAUCGGAAUCUACUUUUUCGUGGGGGAUAACGUAGGGAAACUUACGCUAAUACAGCAUACGACCUACGGGUGAAAGCAGGGGAUCUUCGGAUCCGGCGGGAGUGAAUGAGCCGAUGGCGGAUUAGCUUGUUGGUGGGGUAGAGGCCCACCAAGGCGUUGAUGGGUAGCCGGUCUGAGAGGGUGACCGGCAACAUUGGGCCUGCGAUAGGGCCCAGACUGCUACGGGAGGCGGCAGUGGGGAAUAUUGCACAAUGGGCGGAAGCCUGAUGCAGCAACGCCGCGUGCGGGAUGACGGCCUUCGGGUUGUAAACCGCUUUCGCCUGUGACGAAGCGUGAGUGACGGUAGUGGGUAAAGAAGCACCGGCUAACUACGUG
rnacentral:rRNA from 1 species